rnacentral:rRNA from 1 species
GUGAGGAAUAUUGGUCAAUGGGCGGGAGCCUGAACCAGCCAAGUCGCGUGAAGGAAGAAGGGUCUAUGGUUCGUAAACUUCUUUUGCAGGGGAAUAAAGUGCAGGACGUGUCCUGUUUUGUAUGUACCCUGAGAAUAAGGAUCGGCUAACUCCGUGCCAGCAGCCGCGGUAAUACGGAGGAUCCGAGCGUUAUCCGGAUUUAUUGGGUUUAAAGGGUGCGUAGGUGGUUUGAUAAGUCAGCGGUGAAAGUUUGCAGCUUAACUGUAAAAAUGCCGUUGAAACUGUCGGACUUGAGUGUAAAUGAGGUAGGCGGAAUGCGUGGUGUAGCGGUGAAAUGCAUAGAUAUCACGCAGAACUCCGAUUGCGAAGGCAGCUUACUAAGCUACAACUGACACUGAAGCACGAAAGCGUGGGGAUCAAACAGGAUUAGAUACCCUAGUAGUCC